rnacentral:tRNA from 1 species
GGGGAUUUAGCUCAGUGGUAGAGCGCUUGCCUAGCUUGCAAACGCAAGGCCCUGGGUUCGGUCCCCAGCUCCG